ACGAACGCUGGCGGCGUGGCUAAGGCAUGCAAGUCGAACGGACUUUUCCAACGGGUAACUGGAGGAUUAGUCAGUGGCGAACGGGUGAGGAAUUCAUGGAUGACGUGCCCCGGACUCAGGGAUAGCGUUGUGAAAAUAACGGUAAUACCUGAUGACCCCGUAGGACCGCAUGGUCCCGCGGGCAAAGCUCCGACGGUCCGGGAGCGAUUCAUGUCCUAUCAGCUAGUUGGUGAGGUAACGGCCCACCAAGGCAACGACGGGUAUCGGGCGUGAGAGCGUGACCCGACACAUCGGAACUGAGAUACGGUCCGGACACCUACGGGUGGCUGCAGCAACGAAUAUUCCGCAAUGGACGAAAGUCUGACGGAGCGACGCCGCGUGCAGGAAGAAGUCCCUCGGGAUGUAAACUGCUGUCAGGGGUGAGGAACUCAAUGACCAACCCCAGAGGAAGCCACGGCUAACUCCGU
rnacentral:rRNA from 1 species